rnacentral:rRNA from 1 species
AGACGAACCGUACGAACGUUACUCGGAAUCACUGGGCUUAAAGGGUGCGUAGGCUGUCCGGUAAGUUGGGUGUGAAAGCCCUCGGCUCAACCGAGGAAUAGCGCCCAAAACUGUCGGACUUGAGGGAGACAGAGGUAAGCGGAACUUAGGGUGGAGCGGUGAAAUGCGUUGAUAUCCUAAGGAACACCAGUGGCGAAAGCGGCUUACUGGGUCUCUUCUGACGCUGAGGCACGAAAGCUAGGGGAGC